rnacentral:rRNA from 1 species
UCCAGACUCCUACGGGAGGCAGCAGUGGGGAAUAUUGCACAAUGGGGGAAACCCUGAUGCAGCGACGCCGCGUGAGUGAAGAAGUAUUUCGGUAUGUAAAGCUCUCUCAGCAGGGAAGAAGUUGACGGUACCUGACUAAGAAGCCCCGGCUAACUACGUGCCAGCAGCCGCGGUAAUACGUAGGGGGCAAGCGUUAUCCGGAUUUACUGGGUGUAAAGGGAGCGUAGGCGGCCAGGCAAGUCAGAAGUGAAAGCCCGGGGCUCAACCCCGGGACUGCUUUUGAAACUGCCAGGCUGGAGUGUCGGAGGGGUAAGUGGAAUUCCUAGUGUAGCGGUGAAAUGCGUAGAUAUUAGGAGGAACACCAGUGGCGAAGGCGGCUUACUGGACGAUCACUGACGCUGAGGCUCGAAAGCGUGGGGAGCAAACAGGAUUAGAUACCCGGGUAC